GACGAACGCUGGCGGCGUGCUUAACACACGCAAGUCGAACGAUGAUGCUCCAGCUUGCUGGGGUGGAUUAGCGGCGAACGGGUGAGUAACACGUGAGUAACCUGCCUUUCACUUUGCGAUAAGCCUUGAAACCGGGGUCUAAUCCCGGGGAUGACACAUUGUCGCCUGGGGGGUUGUGGAAAGCUUUUGUGGUGGAGGAUGGACUCGCGGCCUAUCAGCUUGAUGGUGGGGUAGUGGCCUACCAUGGCUUUGACGGGUAGCCGGCCUGAGAGAGUGACCGGCCACACUGGGACUGAGACACGGCCCAGACUCCUACGGGAGGCAGCAGUGGGUAAUAUUGCACAAUGGGCGGAAGCCUGAUGCAGCGACGCCGCGUGGAGGAUGAAGGCUUUCGGGUUGUAAACUCCUUUCAGCAGGGACGAAGCUUUGGUGACGGUACCUGCAGAAGAAGCACCGGCUAACUACGUGCCAGCAGCCGCCGUAAUAC
rnacentral:rRNA from 1 species